UUAGUUACACAAGCGCCAGAGCUUGAAGUUGCGCGGGAAGGAUUUUGAACGGUAUGGAUCUCGGAACUCGAGAUUCACUGAUCAGGAUCGACGGCAAUCAAGCUGACGAGGUGGAGGUGUUCGGAUUGUUCGGCGGGGACCUCCCGGUGAUGCACCAUAGCCGUAAACCGGAUUGCGGAAAAUGGAUGGGUGACUGUCCACACAACGCGCCGGUAGGUGCAA
rnacentral:ncRNA from 1 species